rnacentral:rRNA from 1 species
AAAGGCUCACCAGGGCGACGAUCCAUAGCUGGUCUGAGAGGAUGAUCACCCACACUGGGACUGAGACACGGCCCACACUCCACGGGAGGCAGCAGUGGGGAAUAUUGGACAAUGGGCGCAAGCCUGAUCCACCCAUGCCGCGUGAGUGAAGGCCCUAGGGUUGUAAAGCUCUUUCACCGGUGAAGAUAAUGACGGUAACCGGAAAAGAACCCCCGGCUACUUCGUGCCAGCAGCCGCGGUAAUACAAAGGGGGCUAGCGUUGUUCGGAUUUACUGGGCGUAAAGCGCACGUAGGCGGACUUUUAAGUCGGGGGUGAAAUCCCGGGGCUCACCCCCGGAACUGCCUUUGAUACUGGAAGUCUUGAGUAUGGUAGAGGUGAGUGGAAUUCCGAGUGUAGAGGUGAAAUUCGUAUAUAUUCGGAAGAACACCAGUGGCGAAGGCGGCUCACUGGACCAUUACUGACGCUGAGGUGCGAAAGCGUGGAGAGCAAACAGGAUUAGAUACCCUGGUACUCCACGCCAUAAACGAUGAAGUGUUAGCCGUUUGGGGAGUUUUACUUCUUUCGGUGGCGCAGCUAAACGCAUAUAAAACACUUCCGCCCUGGGAGAGUACGGGUCGCAAGUAUUAAAAACUCAAAAGGUAUUUGACGGGGGGCCCCCGCACAAAGCGGUGGAGCAUGUUGUUUUAUAAUUUUCGAAGCAACGCGACAGAACUCUAUUACUCAGCCCUCUUU